GACGAACGCUGGCGGCGUGCUUAACACAUGCAAGUCGAACGGAAAGGCCCUGCUUUUGUGGGGUGCUCGAGUGGCGAACGGGUGAGUAACACGUGAGUAACCUGCCCUUGACUUUGGGAUAACUUCAGGAAACUGGGGCUAAUACCGGAUAGGAGCUCCUGCUGCAUGGUGGGGGUUGGAAAGUUUCGGCGGUUGGGGAUGGACUCGCGGCUUAUCAGCUUGUUGGUGGGGUAGUGGCUUACCAAGGCUUUGACGGGUAGCCGGCCUGGGAGGGUGACCGGCCACAUGGGGACUGAGGGACGGCCCAGACUCCUACGGGAGGCAGCAGUGGGGAAUAUUGCGCAAUGGGCGGAAGCCAGAUACAGCAACGCCGCGUGCGGGAUGACGGCCUUCGGGUUGUAAACCGCUUUCGCCUGUGACGAAGCGUGAGUGACGGUAAUGGGUAAGGAAGCACCGGCUAACUACGUG
rnacentral:rRNA from 1 species